CCUACGGGGUGCAGCAGUGAGGAAUAUUGGUCAAUGGGCGGAAGCCUGAACCAGCCAAGUAGCGUGCAGGAUGACGGCCCUACGGGUUGUAAACUGCUUUUAUACGGGAAUAACGCGCCUUACGUGUAGGGCUUUGCAUGUACAGUAUGAAUAAGGACCGGCUAAUUCGGUGCCAGAAGCCGGGGGAAUACGGAGGGUCCGGGUGUUAGCCGGAUUUAUUGGGUUUAAAGGGGGCGUAGGCCGCAUGUCAAGCGUGCUGUGAAAUGUCCGGGCUCAACCCGGGCCUUGCAGCGCGGACUGGCGUGCUUGAGUCCGCGGAAAGCAGGCGGAAUUCGUCGUGUAGCGGUGAAAUGCUUAGAUAUGACGAAGAACCCCGAUUGCGAAGGCAGCUUGCUGCAGCGGAACUGACGCUGAUGCUCGAAAGCGCGGGUAUCGAACAGGAUUAGAUACCCGUGUAGUC
rnacentral:rRNA from 1 species